UUUAUGUAAUGUUCUAAUUUUAUAUGAUUAUUUAUGUAAAUUCUGUGUGACUGUGACGUGCUGAACGUUCGAGCCGCGUUCAAACACUGCAGCGGAGGGAGUUGCCAUGGAAACAGAGCGGCAACACAACGACUGACAAGCAGGAAGCUCCGUUUCGCUGCUGUUUUUACUGUUUUCGGUAAGUUUAGUUCCUAAAAUCUCACAAAUAUUAAUUACAGUUAUUCCUGACACCUCUCUUGCUUGUAUUUGACUCGUUUCUGGUGAUAGAAAUGGUUUAGUGUCUUCGAACAAGUCCGUUAGCAUCUUAGCCGUUUUCAGAGGACGUAACGUUAACAUUAGGCUAACUCCAUAGACGGCUCUUAUUGAAUGUUUGGGAUUUUAUUUACAUCUUUAUGUGUAGAUGAGAGGUUUUGACAGUUCUGUAAAAGUUUAGCUGGUAAUUUUUCAGUGGGUGAUUGGAAAUAGGCUCAUUUAUUUAACCUAAACAUAUAGCCUACACUGUACCGUUAAUCGGUGACGUCACUUACAUCAGCGGGACAAUUAACUGAAUCUAGUUCAAACGUAUUUUGAUCUCUCAUGGUAAACAAAUGUUGAUAAAAAAAAACUGUUCUGUGAUUUCAGAAGAAAAACAAAAGCACGGCAAGAUGGGAGGCUCCAAGAUUUCACAAUUUCUGAAGGGAGCCGCAGACGGAGAAGUAAGGAACACAAGUGAACAGGUAAAGCUUCUUAAAAUUUUAAGAGGGCUUUGACAUCCACAAGUAAGAAGUAUGAGCAAUAUUAAAUAAGUAAACCUAGAAGCAAAUUAUGUUAUGUUAAAAUAAUGUUUUCUGUAUAUUCUUCUUUCUCUUUUCUACAUUUCACCUGCUCUAGCUUGGUUCCUUGUAAUAAACCUGGCUGGCAUUGUAUACUAAAUAUUGUUGGCUCUGUUGAUGGCCUGCACCCCAGACUCAGAGCGGACCUCCUGUCGGACAACAUCUCCCAGGCACAAUGAACAAUAUGGUUACUAGAGAUUACACCAGUUCCAGUUUGGAUCCAGCCUCGCGUGUGAAGACUUCAGAAGACGCAAGCACUCACAAAGACUUCAGAUGAUGGCAACUAGAUGAACAUACAAAGCUGCCAAAUAAUCCUUAUAUUGUAAUCAUUGCCCUAAAAGGGAGGAACUUCUCAACAAAUCUACCUCACAGCGCAUCAAUGAAAGCAGUUUGACAAUUACAGACGGGUGUGUUGGAUCAGGAUGAGAUCUGAAUUCUGCAGGUUUUCUGGAUUCCCAGUUGAAGACAUCAGUACAUAAGAUGUUGUCCUGGACAGCUGUAUCUACAGUACACUGCACUGACCUCUGCUUUUGCAUAGAUGGCUGACUACUACCAUAGUAUUAUUGGUAUUAUGUUCUAAGGCAGGGGUACUCAAGUUCAGAGGCCAAGCGGGCCGCAUUUAAACUACAUAUUGCUAUA